UCGAGAAUUUUUCUCAAUGGGCGCAAGCCUGAAGGAGCGACGCCGCGUGGAGGAUGAAGGCCUUCGGGUUGUAAACUCCUGUCAUUUGGGAACAAACCUUUUGGUUAACUGCCAAAAGACUGAUAGUACCAGAAGAGGAAGAGACGGCUAACUCUGUGCCAGCAGCCGCGGUAAUACAGAGGUCUCAACCGUUGUUCGGAUUCAUUGGGCGUAAAGGGUGCGUAGGCGGUCGUGCAAGUCGGAUGUGAAAUCUCAGGGCUCAACCCUGAAACUGCAUUCGAUACUGCGUGGCUAGAGUGCUGGAGGGGAGACUGGAAUUUACGGUGUAGCAGUGAAAUGCGUAGAUAUCGUAAGGAAGACCAGUGGCGAAGGCGAGUCUCUGGACAGCAACUGACGCUGAGGCACGAAGGCCAGGGGAGCAAACGG
rnacentral:rRNA from 1 species